AACGAACGCUGGCGGCAUGCCUAACACAUGCAAGUCGAACGAUCCCUUCGGGGAUAGUGGCGCACGGGUGCGUAACGCGUGGGAACCUGCCCUUAGGUUCGGAAUAACUCAGAGAAAUUUGAGCUAAUACCGGAUAAUGUCUUCGGACCAAAGAUUUAUCGCCUUUGGAUGGGCCCGCGUUGGAUUAGCUAGUUGGUGGGGUAAAGGCCUACCAAGGCGACGAUCCAUAGCUGGUCUGAGAGGAUGAUCAGCCACACUGGGACUGAGACACGGCCCAGACUCCUACGGGAGGCAGCAGUGGGGAAUAUUGGACAAUGGGCGAAAGCCUGAUCCAGCAAUGCCGCGUGAGUGAUGAAGGCCUUAGGGUUGUAAAGCUCUUUUACCCGGGAUGAUAAUGACAGUACCGGGAGAAUAAGCCCCGGCUAACUCCGUGC
rnacentral:rRNA from 1 species